rnacentral:rRNA from 1 species
UACGUAGGGCGCAAGCGUUGUCCGGAAUUAUUGGGCGCAAAGAGCUCGUAGGCGGUUUGUCGCGUCUGCUGUGAAAACCUAAGGCUCAACCUUGGGCUUGCAGUGGGUACGGGCAGACUAGAGUGCGGUAGGGGUGACUGGAAUUCCUGGUGUAGCGGUGGAAUGCGCAGAUAUCAGGAGGAACACCGAUGGCGAAGGCAGGUCACUGGGCCGCAACUGACGCUGAGGAGCGAAAGCGUGGGUAGCAAACAGG